UUUUAAGCCCAAUUACAAGACAAAUUACAUGGCCCAAUUUCAAUUGGUGGCCCAGUUACAAACAUAGCCCGAAACAGAUGAAGAAACCCUAGGGUUUCUGAGUAAAGCUCCAGCCGCCGCAACCCUAAUCUUGGCCGAAUCUCCAUGGAUUCACCUGCAUAGCAAGAAAAACGAAAAUGGAAAGGGAAUCAACAAUAUUUGUAAAUCAAAUCAAGAACUGAUUUCUUUCCUUUUUAGAUUUAUU
rnacentral:lncRNA from 1 species